CUCCGCAGAGAUGAUUUAUACAGCAUCUUGUACAUUACACACAAAUAUAGCAGUUAAAUAUUCGAUAUGAUUCCUCGCUGAAAGCAUCAAUUUAAUUUGCAGAAUAACAGGUUUAGAAUAAAAAAAUCUUUAUUUGCUAGAAUGCAAUAGACACGUGACUAGAAUUCGAUUUUCUUCUUCAUUAGUUCGUACACCUCAGCAGUGGUUGUUUAACUCUGUCACUAGUUAUUGUAUGGUAGUGCUAAAACAUCCAUAAUGUGAAAAAAUAUCAAUACACAACUUGUGAUUUUCUUUGAUGGUUUAUAAAUAUGAUGCACUUAUGUUCGAUAUUUGAAUACUGGAUAAUUUGUGGUUGAUUUAAAAUCCGUUAAAAGACCUUGAUUAAUGACGACAUGAAGAUUUUUAACUGGUGACAUAUUUGCCGUAUAAAUCAUCUAAUUGUGGUAAGGUUUAUUCCGUCUCGUGAAAUGUGAACAGAUUCUAUCUAAUGAUAACCAGGUUGGUACAAAGAAUAGCAAAGAAAUGAAAUGGGUUUAUCAUGAUUACUUUAUCAAAAUGAUUUGGUUGUGGACGCCAUUGUUUGCCAAUUUAACAAAAGUCAAUUCAACACGGAGUAACAAUGUCAAGUAUGACGUAAUGAACGACCAAUCAAUGGACGAUUCAAUUAUGACGUUACCAACACAACCAUCCAAUUACGAUCAUCUGUUGAAAGUUCGUCUUCUUGCGCUAACAACGUCUUCCAUCGCAAUAGAGUGGAAUUAUGAAGAGACUGUUUUUCGUAAUAAAACGUUGCUUGGAUCAAAAGUGGAAUAUUUUAUAAAUAGUGGUAAAUUCUCUUCCGAUAUGUUACAACCGCAUAUACAUUCUUUUACGUGUGACCAUUUAAAAGUUGCAACAAAAUACACCAUUUGCAUUUCUGUGUAUUUAAGUGAGCUUGUUUAUUUAAAAGAGGAUGAUUCAAUUGUUCUAUCAAAAUGUUUUGGAGCUGAAACUAUACCAUACAUUCGUAAUGAUUCUAUUCUAGUUCUUAUUAUUUUACUGUCGUACUAUUUAUUUAUGGGAAUGAUAGGCGUUUGUCAAUGGAAAAGGAAGUGUCGUAUGCAGAAUUCUAAAAAUAGACGAAUUGAGAUCGUGCAUAAUACCGAAAAUAAUGUAAACAGUAAUUCGACUAUGCGAUUCCGUGAAUUGGAGGAGCGACAACGAUUGACCAAUCCAGUAUGUUCUAUUGAAGAAUCACGCAUUUGAAAUAGUGCUUCGUUAAUAUCUCCUCAGGGUAAACCAGCUUACAAGUCAUAAGAAAAAGUUUCAAAAUGUCGUGUCAUAAUGCCAUUCGAAAAGCCAUUUGUAUACGAUUUUUGACGUGGGAACAUACACAAUGUGGUAUUUAAUGUGGAUGUACUAUUCGUCGUCCAUUUAAUUUGGAAACGCAAGUGAAGAUUUUAGAAAUAUACAAAUAUUGACGUUUUUGUAUUGGACUAUAUGCUCAAGAAAUCCAAGAUAAUUUAUAUGAAUUCUUUUUUUAAACUUCAACAGAAAAUAUUUCAAUUUUAAAUAUCGAUAACUGGCUCGUUUUCAUAUAAAUAAGGCCAGCUUAAGAUGUACUACUUUGGUAAGUCAAUGAUAUUUUGUGUGCAGUUUGUAAUUAGUAUAAGAAAUCGUAUUAUCAUGGAGAAUAUUUCAUCUUGUACGUCUAGUCUUGUUUCAUUGGCUUUGAGAGUUUGUAUCAUUUACACGACAAAGUUUGCAAUUUAAAUUUUAACAUUUGUAUUAUAGAUCAAAAUUCGAUACAGGUGAGGCAAAGCUAUGGGUCAACAUUUUAUUAGUACAAAAAAAUAAUAGAACAAAACAACUUUCGACACGUUUUAUUGUUUCCGUUAUUCAUUAAUGAAAUAUUAGUAUGAUGUACUCACUUUUUCUUAGAAUCAUAUAAAAUUUGGAUAAUUUAUUGUUAACAAGCUUGAAUUUCUUUUAUUGAGAUGAUACAAAUAUGAUUCAUUGACCAUUUUAAGUAUUCAAGAUUGAUUCAUUUCAUUUAAAAAAAAAACUCGUUUAUGUGGGGAUCAAAUGCCAUUGUUAACACAAAAAACCAACAAUGGUUAUGUAUUUGAAAAAAGGGAGACAUGAGUUCAAGUUUUAAAUGUCCUACUAAUGUAUAGACUACAUUUACCUUGGGUUCUUACUCGAAUGUAAAAUGAAUAAAUGUGAUCAAUGCAUUAGACCGUUGGUUUCCCGUUUGAAUGGGUUUACACAAGUAAUCUGGGGCCCUUUAUAGCUUGUUGUUCGGUGUGAGCCAAUGCUCCGGGUUGAGGAUGACAGAUCCAAUAGUCAAUGAACAUGAUAAUACCAUCAGCGGCAUAUAUGACAAUCAUCAGGCAGAUAAAUAUAUAUAUAUAUUACAUCAUAGAACAAUAAUUUAAUUUUGGAUGUAACGCGUCUUUUGAUUGGCUGACGUUAUUUUGUAAUCAGCCCAUAGACAUAAUAUAGUCAUGUGACCGUGACCUCAUCAAAGUUUUUUCAUGGUUUUCUACGGUUUAAAAUGGAAUUAAGAAUUAAAUUAUAAGAAAUGACUGUAAUAUUUUUUCUAUCUAUUCGCAAAAACAAUAAAAAUGGACUGCACACUGUUAAAUAACCAGUGUGCACUAUUUUUUUAUGUUAUUUCUUCAUAGACAGAAAAAAUAUUACAGUCAUUCCUUAAAUAAACAAUGUACUAAUAUUUUUAUAUUGUCUAUAAUCUAUAGGUGUUGUUGUCUCUUACAUAUUAUUAAA